rnacentral:rRNA from 1 species
CAGCCGUAAACAAUGUGCGUUAGGUGUGUCGGUAACCACGUGUUACUGAUGCGCCGAAGAGAAAUCGUGAAACGUACCACCUGGGAAGUACGGUCGCAAGGCUGAAACUUAAAGGAAUUGGCGGGGGAGCACCACAACAGGUGGAGCCUGCGGUUUAAUUGGAUUCAACGCCGGACAUCUCACCGGAUAAGACAGCUGAAUGAUUGUCAAUCUGAAGGUUUUACAUGACUAGCUGAGAGGAGGUGCAUGGCGUCAGUGACU